UGAAGGCAAUUCAGCUGUGUGAUGGGAAGGGAUGGAGCCUGGCUGCACCUCUCUUAGACCUCAUUUGAGGGCUGGCUGCCACUGGGGAAGCAUCUCUUUCUGAAGGCUCCUCCAUAGUGAAGCUCUUCUCUGUGAACCUGGACUCUUCUGAUACAGGUUCUGAAGUUGGCAUUUUUCCCUAUUCUGCAUGUAGUUGUUUGCCCCAGGCUGUAAAACAAGACUAUAAUGACCGAAGAACAAAUACCACAUCAUGGAGCUAAGCUAAAGGAAGCAGUCUGCUUGCAGUUUAAGUGACUAGCACAAGACAGAACAACUCCUAAAGCUCAAGCUUGUCCAGCAAAAUGACGAGGACAGUCAGAAAAGCAUUUGCUUUUUGAAAGCAGGUCAGAAGUAAGACUGGCAUUGAGGAUUUGCUUUGUAUUCAGAGCUGACAAUCCACUAAUCCUCGCUUAGUUUGCCUGAAGUUCCUCUGAGUGAUUGGAGCCCAGCACUGAAAGGAGCUCAAGUGACAAACUGCAACUGGGAGUGAGAUUGCAAAUGUAGAAACCAUGACCCCCAGCUCAUCAGAAGUUUUGUACAGGCCUCCAACCAGAACUCCAGUCCACCACGUUAAGAAUUCUUCACCCAGUUCUCCUACCACCACCCCACAGAGCAGCACAGCAUGUGGCUUCAAGGCCAAAGACUCAAGUUCAGCUAAAGCAGCUGUAGUGAUCACUACUUCACCCUCGUGCCAUAGGUUUCUCUUUCCAAACGGGGAUAGCCAAAUAUCAUACCUGUUCCUCAUCAGAU